rnacentral:rRNA from 1 species
AGUGAACGCUGGCGGUAGGCCUAACACAUGCAAGUCGAACGGCAGCACAGUAAGAGCUUGCUCUUACGGGUGGCGAGUGGCGGACGGGUGAGGAAUACAUCGGAAUCUACUUUUUCGUGGGGGAUAACGUGGGGAAACUUACGCUAAUACCGCAUACGACCUACGGGUGAAAGCAGGGGAUCUUCGGACCUUGCGCGAUUGAAUGAGCCGAUGUCGGAUUAGCUAGUUGGCGGGGUAAAGGCCCACCAAGGCGACGAUCCGUAGCUGGUCUGAGAGGAUGAUCAGCCACACUGGAACUGAGACACGGUCCAGACUCCUACGGGAGGCAGCAGUGGGGAAUAUUGGACAAUGGGCGCAAGCCUGAUCCAGCCAUACCGCGUGGGUGAAGAAGGCCUUCGGGUUGUAAAGCCCUUUUGUUGGGAAAGAAAAGCAGCAGGUUAAUACCCCGCUGUUCUGACGGUACCCAAAGAAUAAGCACCGGCUAACUUCAUG